GGCAGAGGGAGCCCGGCCACCGUGUCCCGGCCCGACGUUCCGACGCCGUCGGGACGCUCGCAAGGGACAUGAGGAAAGUCCCCCCAUCGUCCAGGCAGGUGACCGGGUGCAAACCCGGAGCGGGAGACCGCUGGCGCUGGAACAGAAACGAGACCCCUCUCCCCGACCGAUGAGGCGCGCGAACCCCGAGCGGAAUGGAUGGAACGGCGAAUCCUCACCGGUGCAAGCCCGCGCGACAGGUAGCCCGGACGCGGCGCGGGCGCUCAGCCGAAUGCCGGCAAAACAGAAGGGGGCUUACUCCCCUCAGCC
rnacentral:RNase_P_RNA from 1 species